AUUGAACGCUGGCGGCAGGCCUAACACAUGCAAGUCGAGCGGAGCGGAGGACGGGUGAGUAAUGCCUAGGAAUCAGCCUGGUAGUGGGGGACAACGUCCGGAAACGGGCGCUAAUACCGCAUACUAUCAGAUGAGCCUAGGUCGGAUUAGCUAGUUGGUGGGGGAAAGGCCAACCAAGGAGACGAGCCGUAACUGGUCUGAGAGGAUGAUCAGUCACACUGGAACUUAGACACGGUCCAGACUCCUACGGGAGGCAGCAGUGGGGAAUAUUGGACAAUGGACGAAAGCCUGAUCCAGCCAUGCCGCGGGUGUGAAGAAGGUCUUUGGAUUGUAAAGCACUUUAAGUUGGGAGGCGUUACCAACAGAAUAAGCACCGGCUAACGUCGUGCCAGCAGCCGCGGUAAUUC
rnacentral:rRNA from 1 species